rfam:Acidobacteria bacterium RIFCSPLOWO2_02_FTLL_59_13 rifcsplowo2_02_scaffold_32271, whole genome shotgun sequence.
CCCAGGACUUACGUCCUGGGCUACUAUCAAACGCCCCUGCGGGGCU